UCCCUGGAGGACUAGUGGUUAGGCCACAGUGCUGUCACCGCUGUGGCCUGGGUUCGAUUCCCGGCCAGGGAA